UGGGGAAUAUUGCGCAAUGGUCUAACGACUGACGCAGCGACGCCGCGUGAGGGAUGAAGCUCUUCGGAGUGUAAACCUCUGUUGCCCGGGACGAACAGCUGAAUUCAUUCAGCCUGACGGUACCGGGUGAGGAAGCACCGGCUAACUCCGUGCCAGCAGCCGCGGUAAUACGGGGGGUGCGAGCGUUGUCCGGAAUCACUGGGCGUAAAGGGCGCGUAGGUGGCCUGAUAAGGGUGUGGUGAAAGUCCGGGGCUUAACCCCGGAUCUGCCGUGCCGACUGUUAGGCUAGAGUGCUGUAGGGGCAGGCGGAAUUCCGGGUGUAGCGGUGGAAUGCGUAGAGAUCCGGAGGAAGACCGGUGGCGAAGGCGGCCUGCUGGGCAGAUACUGACACUGAGGCGCGACAGCGUGGGGAGCAAACAGG
rnacentral:rRNA from 1 species